rnacentral:rRNA from 1 species
GGGCUCACACAAGCGGUGGAGGAUGUGGCUUAAUUCGAGGCUACGCGAAGAACCUUACCUAGACUUAACAUGUUUGAGAAUCUCUGUGAAAGCAGAGAGUGCCUUUCGGGGAACUCUUACGUAGGUGCUGCAUGGCUGUCGUCAGCUCGUGUCGUGAGAUGUCGGGUUAAGUCCCUUAACGAGCGAAACCCUUAUCUUCAGUUGCCAGCGAGUAAUGUCGGGGACUCUGGAGAGACUGCCGGUGUUAAACCGGAGGAAGGUGGGGAUGACGUCAGGUCAGUAUGGCCCUUACGCCUAGGGCUACACACGUGCUAGCAAUGCCCGGUACAAUGGGACGCAAUACCGCGAGGUGGAGCAAA